rnacentral:ncRNA from 1 species
CGCAGGCUGCGAGGGGAUUUGAACCAGCUUGCGGCCCUCGUGAAACAAUCCGCUAAGAGGUCUGGCGCUCGCGCCC